rnacentral:rRNA from 1 species
AUUGAACGCUGGCGGCAGGCCUAACACAUGCAAGUCGAACGAGUGGCGGACGGGUGAGUAAUGUCGUGGAAACUGCCCGAUGGAGGGGGAUAACUACUGGAAACGUUAGCUAAUACCGCAUACCAUCGGAUGUGCCCAGAUGGGUUGAGCUAGUAGGUGGGGUAAUGGCUAACCUAGGCGACAAUCCCUAGCUGGUCUGAGAGGGUGACCGGCCACACUGGAACUGAGACACGGGCCAGACUCCUACGGGAGGCAGCAGUGGGGAAUAUUGCACAAUGGGCGCAAGCCUGAUGCAGCCAUGCCGCGUGUAUGAAGAAGGCCUUCGGAUUGUAAAGUACUUUCAGCGAGGAGGCGUUACUCGCAGAGGAAGCACCGGCUAACUCCGUGCCAGCAGCCGCGGUAAUAC